rnacentral:rRNA from 1 species
UACGGGGGGGGCAAGCGUUGUUCGGAAUUACUGGGCGUAAAGGCUCGUAGGCGGCCAACUAAGUCAGACGUGAAAUCCCCAGGCUCAACCUGGGAACUGCGUCUGAUACUGGAUGGCUUGAAUUCGGGAGAGGGAUGCAGAAUUCCAGGUGUAGCGGUGAAAUGCGUAGAUAUCUGGAGGAAUACCGGUGGCGAAGGCGGUCUCCUGGGGCAUUCUUGACGCUGAGGCGCGAAAGCUAGGGGAGCGAACGGG